rnacentral:tRNA from 2 species
AAGUAGUUAGUCUAAAAAAAAUAUUUGAUUUCGGCUCAAAAGCUUCUGGUUUAACUCCGGAACUACUUG